rfam:Candidatus Burkholderia crenata strain TZHbot9 BCREchr_ctg329, whole genome shotgun sequence.
AGCUGCACGAGGAUGACCGAAGGUGGGAAGAGGAAGCGUGAGCCGAUGUACAAGAACUGGAUAAAAGGCGGUGCCGAUCAGGGCAAGCGGGCACGUAAACCGCGAAGCUCUCGUGGUCAAGGUAUUAGGUGUGGUAAAUCCGGCGGUUGUGUGGUGAAAGAUUGCGUUC